AUUGAACGCUGGCGGCAGGCCUAACACAUGCAAGUCGAACGAGUGGCGGACGGGUGAGUAAUGUCUGGGAAACUGCCCGAUGGAGGGGGAUAACUACUGGAAACGGUAGCUACUACCGCAUACCAUCGGAUGUGCCCAUAUGGGAUUAGCUAGUCGGUGGGGUAACGCCUCACCUAGGCGACGAUCCCUAGCUGGUCUGAGAGGCUGACCAGCCACACUGGGAAUGAGACACGGUCCAGACUCCUACGGGAGGCAGCAGUGGGGAAUAUUGCACAAUGGGCGCAAGCCUGAUGCAGCAAUGCCGCGUGAAUGAAGAAGGCCUUCGGGUUGUAAAGUACUUUCAGCGGGGAGGCGUUACCCGCAGAAGAAGCACCGGCUAACUCCGUGCCAGCAGCCGCGGUAAUUC
rnacentral:rRNA from 1 species